rnacentral:lncRNA from 1 species
GAGGAUAAAGAGGGGUAACGGGUGGUAUUAGAUGCAAGGUAAGCACAGUAGUUUUACACGAGCUACCAAACAUGAUCUUUGCACCGUGGGCCUGCUUCUUAUGGACGAGCCUGGCUGAGGGCGCCUUACAGGUUGCUAAACGUGCACUAGAGGGGAGAAGGAAGGAAUUGGAAGGCUUUGGGGAAUUGUUGGGCUUAGAGUUCUUGGCUAUUGCAAUAGUUGAGGUUGAGUGAAGCAAUUACUGAUUCAUGGAGGACAACACGAUGCUUUUGUUCCACAUGGUCUAGUCGCUGUUGACAUAUACAACCAAGGAGCAUUUUUUUAUUGGUAUGUGACUCGAAAUUAUCUAUUGAAGACCACUUUCCAAACUAUGAAAUUUCAAAAUACUCCUAGAUAUUUCACUCAAAAAGCAAUUAUAUAUCUAUCAUGUCCAUCUCCAUCUUUAGUAAAAUAUGUAAAAUAUUUACAAACUUUUAAAUGGAAUAUAUACCAUUAAGGCAACAAUGUUGGAAAAUAAAGUAUUGGAAUAAAAUGCCACAAUAGUGUACAUUCUAUUUCAGUGUAUCAAAAAUGUUUGCAAAUAUUUUAUGAAGUUUACUAGAGAUGGUUAUUAUGUUCAAGAUAUAUCUCCCUCCACAAAAUUUCACAGCCAAUUAAAAAUAGUUAAAAAGAUAAAAAAGACAUGAAAACAUGUGUCCAAUAUUUCAGGGCUAAAAAAUGCAUGUAAAAAACAGUCAGGUC